rnacentral:rRNA from 1 species
UGCCAGCAGCCGCGGUAAUACGGAAGGUCCUAGCGUUGUUCGGAAUUACUGGGCGUAAAGAGUAUGUAGGCGGAACAGAAAGUUAGAAGUGAAAUCCCUGGGCUCAACCUAGGAAUUGCUUUUAAAACUUCUGCUCUUGAAUUCAGGAGAGGAUAGUGGAAUUUCCAGUGUAGAGGUGAAAUUCGUAGAUAUUGGAAGGAACACCAGUGGCGAAGGCGGCUAUCUGGGCCAAUACUGACGCUGAGGUUCGAAAGCGUGGGUAGCGAACAGGAUUAGAUA